rnacentral:misc_RNA from 1 species
AACAUCGCGCACCUGCGGGAACCUGCGGAAGGAUCAUUACAGAGUUGCAAAACUCCCUAAACCAUUGUGAACGUUACCUAAACCGUUGCUUCGGCGGGCGGCGCGCCCUCGCGCGCGCCCCUGGGCCCCACCGCGGGCGCCCGCCGGAGGUCACCAAACUCUUGAUAUUAAUUGGCCUCUCUGAGUCUUCUGUACUGAAUAAGUCAAAACUUUUAGCAACGGAUCUCAGAUCGGAAGAGC